GACGAACGCUGGCGGCGUGCUUAACACAUGCAAGUCGAACGGAAAGGCCCUGCUUUUGUGGGGUGCUCGAGUGGCGAACGGGUGAGUAACACGUGAGUAACCUGCCCUUGACUUUGGGAUAACUUCAGGAAACUGGGGCUAAUACCGGAUAGGAGCUCCUGCUGCAUGGUGGGGGUUGGAAAGUUUCGGCGGUUGGGGAUGGACUCGCGGCUUAUCAGCUUGUUGGUGGGGUAGUGGCUUACCAAGGCUUUGACGGGUAGCCGGCCUGAGAGGGUGACCGGCCACAUUGGGACUGAGAUACGGCCCAGACUCCUACGGGAGGCAGCAGUGGGGAAUAUUGCACAAUGGGCGGAAGCCUGAUGCAGCGACGCCGCGUUCGGGAUGACGGCCUUCGGGUUGUAAACCGCUUUCGCCUGUGACGAAGCGGGAGUGACGGUAAUGGGUAAAGAAGCACCGGCUAACUACGUG
rnacentral:rRNA from 1 species